UGUUAAGUGUUUUAGUCUUAAAUUUAGAUUAAGUGUAACCGUUGUCAUUUCACAUAAGCUUAAAACUAAUAUGAGUAUAAGCCCUAUAUUAAACUAAUGAGUGUGGUUUAGUUUGAUUUAGUUUUGUUUCCACGUGUCAAACCGAAAACCGAACUGUAUGGUUUGGGAAAAACAAAAGCCAAACCAAUUUGAUUCCCAUCGUUUUUUC
rnacentral:lncRNA from 1 species